rnacentral:lncRNA from 1 species
GUUUAACAUCAUGCUUAGCAAUAAAAAUGGGCAAGGGGGGGAAAUACUUCGUGAACUGCUGCUUGGAGACUACCUGGGCUUUGGUCUUCUGGUAAGUAGCGGUGAUUGUGUUUACAUCACUUUUUAGUUUUCCCUUUAAUAAGUCAACCAACAUCCAUCUAUGUUUUCCCCUUCCUUUCCAAUCCAUCCUGCUCUGUGGUAGGUGACAAAGUGGGGGGGGUUGCACAGCUGAUGGGUGGAGACCUGCAAGAUUGGGUCAUGGGUAUGGGUUCAGCUGAGUCUUUGGUGUUCUGAAGUUAAAUGCCAGGUUUAGCAAUUUGUUUCCUUCUUCAUGUGCUGUUGCAGACACUAAUUACAUAAACUUCAGUCUUUGUCACAGUCUGUGGUAGCAUAAAGUCAUAGCAAGUAAUGUUUAGUUUAGAAUAGGUGUUAAUGAGUGUAAGAUGGGUGUGGGAGAUGAAGGUAUUCAUUCUGAAUUAACCUAGAAGUGGUCUGGAAGUGGAAAACUAAUACACUGCUUCAGGCUGCAGCAGCAGUGAAAUUCAUUCCAAGUUUAAUUGAAUUGUUCAGUUAAUAAUGACCACUGUUCUUUAGCAGUGAUCUUGGACUUCCUAGCAAAGCCCUAGAGCCUAAGACAGUGUGUAAGUGGAUACAUCUGUUCCUUUAUGUAUCUUUAGACAGAUGAAAACAAACUAGAAGAUGAGCAGAAAAAGCCUUAAAGGGUGUAGAGGGCCCUUUAGUGACAAAGUUAUUAGUACUCAAGAAGUUUGUUUGUGCUUCUUCAGGCAUGCCAGAGUGCAACUCUAAGCUGCCCAAGUGCAGAUUAGCAGGAACAGAGUAGAAAAGCAUACUAACUUGUGAAACAAGUUUUAAACUCCUGCAAGAGCUGCAUGCAGAAAACUUAACCCAAUCAGCCAGGGAAGAAAGUGAGCGGAGCGGAGGUAAACAAGCAAAGACAGGCACAACUGAAGCAAAGCUUCUAACAGGCUCUGCAAUUCAAUUAUGACUUCUCUGGCUGCUUGUAGAAUUUGGGUUUCUCUCCUUUUGUGGCUACGUGGAGCUGUAUUGAGGAAAUAACAUGGAAAAAAACAGCAAGCACCAACCAAACAUUCCGAGGCAAGGUUAAGCAGAUCUGGUAACAGAAGGUUCAGUAUAUGGCUUAUCAGUUACAUAUUGAAGGCACAUAUAGCAAAAGCUUCAUGUAGCUGAAAGCAAGCUUAACAUGCUGUUGUAAUAAAAAGAAUAGGAGGAAUUGAAAGCUCAAUUGUAAAACAAUUGUAAUAAUUAAUUAAUUAUUUUAUAAUUCCAAGGAAAAAACUGCCCCCUGAAACCUUUGCAACCAAGGCAGUAUGGCUAGAGACAGACUCAAAGGAGUGACAAUGUCAAUACCAGGAAUGUGUGUCCUGGAUGCAUUGACGAGGUGCUUUAACAUCAGCAAUAGAGAAUACCAUUAAAAAACACUCCUCUUGGUUGGACUGAGGGAACACAACCACAGGUGGCUGUUACUGUAAUAUGCCCCUAAGGGCUAGUAUUUGAAGUCUUUAACCUCAGAGUAGCCCCUUGCAGGGAAGUGUAUUCUGAAGCCCUACAGGGAAAAAUAAGCCCAGUACAGCACCGCUUUACCCCUGGGUUACAGUAACAAGGGAUCACAUAAACCCACAAGUUAUAGCUGCACUCCCAGAAUCUUUGGCCUGGAACUUGAAUGCUGCAUUAGAGUUGAGGGAAGCUGAGAACCCCAGAUAAAACAAGAAGAUGUGGAAGACAAACAUAGUAACAGAAGAGACACAAGGAAUCAGAAAUCAAAGAUAUUACAGUAUUAGGGGAAGACAGAUAUAUGUAUAAUAUGUCAAUAUCAAACUUCUCCAUGGUAAGGGGUCAUGAUUAUCCUUGGCUCCCUUUCAGGCUAAUGCACUAAGGCUGUGGUUUUGGGUGUGCUGUUUGUUCAAUAGUAGGAAAAAAACAAACAUGCUCUCUGAUUUUUCCCUGCCUUUGCAGGGAGCCACAGUUGGAGACUACAUAGUAGAGCAGACUGACCCCUGCUCAGACCAACUUACUGCCUAAGCUAGCAGUGGUCAAAGUAGUAUUUACUAUCAUAUGUAUUUUUGCUAGGAAGGGAGAUGUACUAUGCAAAUAAGUACAUAAAUUGUCAUGUUGCAAGUAUUGUAAAUCUUUUAAAGAAUGAAACUGCUACUUCUUUGAAACUGGUCUGGAUAACAUGCUACAACAAUAACUGCCAGUUAGGAGCUCUUUAGAUACAGAAAAAUAGGUCUUUAAUGUAAUCUCAUAUAAUUUUAGACAAGCAUUUUUGGUAGUUUAUGAAAACCAAAUGCAUACAUUAUGGAAGUUAAGAGCUCUCAGUGAAGUCACCAGAAGCGAAAGUUGUGGUUGAGCAAAGCUUCUUCUCUGGUUGAACUUCAGCAGCCAUCAUUGCACACAGUUAAGUUCCUUUAAAAGGUUUGGUUUAAAAUGAGAGUUCAUUUAAACAUCUGGAGGGAAAGGCACUCAGUAUUGCAGUUUCCAGAAUAUUAUUUGUCUGUCUUCCCCUCCAGUAAUAACACUGUUGCAUUGUUCGUUCAUCCACAUGGAGGUUACAGCACCUGGAGGGAAAAAAAAAUAAAAUCAAAUCAGACACAAAUAGUAAUCAAGAUAAGGGAACAUAUUUAAGUCAGUUUAGGAUCAUCAGUCAGUAUUUUGCAUUACGUUGACAGUAUAUCCAGUACUGUAAGAAGAGCCGCCUUGUAUCCUCUUAACCUUAGUGACCUCUUGGCACACUGCCUCAGCCACUUGGGAAGAAGAGGCCAUCUGUAAGUUGACGUGUAGAAUAUAGCUCACAGUAGCACAAGGAUUCACUGGGAAAGGAUGGACAAGCUUGUCUACAAAGUUUUUCACUUUGCCCUUUGGGCUUUUCGUAUUAAAAGUAUGUACCAUCUUAAAAUGUAUGCCUAGCAGCUCACUUUUAAAGAUUCUCCUGGCUACAGCCUGAUCUCAAUAUAGCUCAAAUGCCAGAGCUUAAGUAACAUUAGGGAAGUUUGAAAUAACUGUUCAUGAAAGCAGCCCUAAAAGCAAACUAGGUAAAACUAAGUUAUUCUUCCCUUCUUGCAGUUUGGUUGCUAGCAUAUUGAAGACAAGGUACGUGUAAGAUGUCCACAAACCCCCAUCCAAAACAACUCUAUCACAGGCUGUCUAGACUGUGAGUCUAACAAUUAACUUUGCUAAUUAGAAAACUAACACAUCUGCCUCUGUUCAGUCUUGUAACAACACUGGAAGAGUACUGCUGUUUACGUUUCCUAGGAGGCUCAGGUGUUACCUGGGACAGAAGAAAAAGGUGCACGUAAUAUCAUGAGCCGCUGAGGAGUGGAGCAAAUGAUUCUCAAAACUUGUCAAUACCAACACAGACAAAACAGGAAGCUUCCAGGCACUUUGAGAACAAGAGUAGUUCAGGCAUACCUGCGUGUCCUUUGAUUCUUUCAGUGACUUUUCCACUAAGGAGGUCCCAAGUCAGUAAUUCACCAGACUGACUUCCUGACAAGACAGUAUUUCCAUCCCAUCUGAAACACCUUUGUGGCUCACCAGCAGUCACAGAAGAUAUAAGCAUUCCAGUCUGUACAUCUAUUACUUUAAAACAACAGUCUUCUCCCGCACUGAGUAGAUGUCUGCCAUCUACACAAGAGAGAAAACCAUGACAACAACAAACAAAAGGAGCACAUUUAGAUACGCAGUCCUAGUUAUCAUCACAGUCCGCAGUGCAGCAUGUUGGCUGUGAUAGGCCUGACCUACUUAUUUACAGAAAAUUUACAUUGUCUGCAACCAUACAAUGAUAAACACUGGUCUAGAAUUUAGACUACUGGGCUACAGUUUGGUAAGGCCUUGCAUCAGUUAAAGACUUCUUUUAUAGCAAAGAAGUGCGUCACAGAAUCAGAAUGACUGAAUUGGAAGGGACCUUUAAAGAUCAUCUAGUUCCAACUACCCUGCCAUAGGCAAGGAUACCUUCUGGUAGAUCUCACCAUUCCCCUUGGACUUGUAAUUCCAAUAACCAGAGUGCAUUACAUGUAAUCAGGAAACUCCCAAGUGUAUAUGUUAAAACUGAAAUCCAACAUACCGGGACUAAAAGCAGCAUCGAACACAGUACCAGAAUGACAAGGCAACUGGUGCAACACUGUUGCUGUGGUAACAUCCCAAACACUAAUGGUACCCUCUUUGGUUCCAGAUGCUAGUAUACUGUUUGAAGCAGUAAGGUCGAUUGUAUUUACCUAGGAAGUUAAACAUACCAUGAUUUUCCUGUUCUUCCAUGUAAGCUGUCUCAAAACAAGUUAUAAACAUACAUAGAAAAGUCUGUCAUCCAUUAAGAUGCCAUUUUAUUGGCAACAGCUUUUGAAUUUAAUUCUGCAACAUCCUUAAGUACAAUUAUUAUCAAGAAAAAGGCAGCUCCCUUUAAAAUACCUAAAGAAAAAGAUAUUUUAAAGUACUUCUUUGUAGAAUAGGAAACACAAAGUGACAUUUCAGACUACUUUUAUUACUCGUAUUCUCCACUUAAAUGCAAAACUUUACCCUUGAGGUUAAUAUUCUCCUUUAUCAGAAAGAACCAACGACAAGGAAUAUCUUUUAAAAAUACUCUUGGACCCCAUUCUUAAUUGUUACAAGAGUGACAUUAAAUGCUGUAAGAGAAGCGCACAGUUACAUGUGGUCAACUGCACAGAAUGUGAUUAUACGUUUACUGUGAAAUUCAGCAAUGCAUUUUGGAGUACGGUAAAAAACCAACACUGACUCAGUUCCUUUUAUUUGCUUGCCUCUGGAAGAGUUUCAUCAAGAGGAAGCACCAACAAUGAAAAUACCGAAAAAAAACCCAAACCAAACCAAACCAAACGAUCUCUUCACUCAUGAGUUUUCAAAAAGCAAAAGCAAAACAGGAAACUAAGAAAAACCAACUCCCCCUCUGCUGUCCACCUCCCUCAACCUUGAACUCUGUGCAAACAAGCUGACUAAAGCAAAUCAGAAUAACUGAACAAGUAAAUAAAAUAAAAACCAUGAAGCAGAACUCUUCCUACUGUCGCUUUCCUCCUUAGGAGCAGACUUUUCAACCAAGGAAGCAGGGGGUGCUGGAGAGCAGGAUGCUCAUCUCAGGCAAAGUUAUGCCAAUAAAAGCCGAUAAACAAAGCAACCCACCGUUGGUGAUAUGUCAAGAUCAUAUGAUAUAAAUGCAAAUUCUGGGGUACUGCAUCUCUGUCAGCAUACUUACACUAACAUCGUGCUCCAACUCUGCAAGCAAUUCAAAGCAGUUUCUUUUAUUGCUCAAUGUCUCUCCAGGUACACAUUUCCACACCUACAACACAGACAUUUAAGUUUGCUCAAGGAAGCAUUAGUAAAAUUGGAUGAGUUUCUCCAUUACUUAAUGCUCACAAGUGCUGCUUGUGUAACUGCAGGCCUCAUCUGUGUGGCACAACAGCAGUUGGCACCUUGAACUGUUUACAUUAAGCAGAGCAACACCUUGAACAUAAUUCUGCUGAUUCCAAGUAGAUUACCAAAGCAAUGUAUAUCACAGCACUGAAUAGAUACUUAGCAUAAGAAGGCUUUGGGAAAUUCUUUCUUAUCUCUAACUUCCAAAUUAUUUUUGGUGUCUACCUGUAGGCUUUUAAUUAGCCCUUAGCUGAAGAAAUACACUACAGAACUACUAAACGCUUUUAGAAGCCUGUUCUGUUCAGCAAACAAUUGUCAAUCCAGGUUACAAAACAUCCCCAUUCCUCCAACAAAUGCAGUUCAUCCCAAAAAAGGAAACUGAUAUUAAGUCAGAAUGAAUGACAUUGCUUUAAAGAAACACUAAGGCUUUGCAACACAGUAGAGGUAAAGCUAACAAAAGAUAAACUACUUGUACUUAUAAUAUUUAUAGUAGCUUACAAACAUGAUAUAAAAAUAUUCAUGUAUUUAUUACUAGAAUAUAACAGGUGCAUCCACUCCAGUGCAUGUCUCUGGCCAAGUAUUAACUGCUAACAAGAAAUAGUUACUGAAAUAUUAUAAACUCGUACACAAACCUUUACAGUGGAAUCCCAAGAUGCAGAAUAUAAACACCCAUCACGCCAACAAAUCUUACUGACGGCGUCAUCGUGUCCCAUUAAGAUGUCCUGCCGUCUUCCAAAUGCAACUGAAUAAAAAUAUCUAACAGGAAGAGAUCAUAAAGGCAUCAUACCUUCAGAUAACAUAAACAGUUUUCUCUGAAUUGAUGAAAAUAACUUCCUUUCUACAGUUUCUAACAGGAACCAGAACUGAAAAUAAAACAAAUGCAGAAGUAUAGAUACUGCAUUUCAUCAGUGAUCUUCUGUAUCUGUAACCAUAACCACAAUUACCAAGGUACUCCAUAUAAUUCAGUGGAGUCAACAGGAAGUAAAUACUCACAUAUUAUUGUCCCAUGAAGAACUUACAACAGUGGUAUCUCCUGGUAAGAUUAUACAAGAUGACAAAGCCUGUAGGAGAAAAGGAAAAACAAAGCAGUGUUCUAUUUCUGACCCUCAAAGGGAAGUACAUUAACACGGUUUCGGAGAACAAGGAGCACAGUCAUCUCUUAUAUGCACAACAUGCAGAUGUUGCAUGAAUGUUAAUUAAGAAAAACCUCACAAAAAAACUCUGGUAAAUACAAAGUUAACUCCAAAGUUCGGAAACAUACGCACAACUGAUGGAUCUCCUUUUUCCAAGUACUUCAGGUAUGUGGCAUUAAUUUCACGCUCAGGAUAAACCGAUACAGCUUUUCAUCUCUCAAGCUACGUCAAUGCUAUAUGCAAAAAGAAACCUGAAAAGACAGGUUUUCUUUCAUGUUCCCCCCCACCCCCCCAUGACAGCAACUUAUCUGCUCUGCUCUUUUAAGCAAUGGAUGCAGCUAUGUAAUUUCUAUUAUUCUCAGCAACAAAAAAAAAAAAACCAACCCAAACAAACCAAACAUUCUUUACAGACAUCUUCUCAGUUACAUCACUGGAAAGAGAAGGAAAAAAAAACAAACAGUGCAGUUCUUCUGUAAGUAUCAUCAGAAAAAAAGAAAAAAUGAACAGCAAUCUGUUCUUAAAAACAGCAGGCAGCUGGAAUGCAAAGAGAUUAUUGCUUCUGGCCUUGCUGUAACAGAUCAACACUGAAACUACCAAGGGGGCAGGAGAGAGUGAAGAGGAAGAGAACAAAAGUGUACACGACCUCCUCACUAGAGACUAACUUGGACUAGGAUUCAGCGAAGAGCUCCCUUCCUACAGUGUCAAGAGGAGCACGCCAUGGCAGGCACCAGUGUCUUGAUCCUACAAUUUAUUUGGGGACGUGCUAUACUAUGGCUUCUAUCUGGGCAACAUAUGUGUCUUCCCCUCCCUCCUCCCUAGAGAGGAGGGUAUGGAGGAGGGUUAAUGCAUCCUAGUGUCUUGUCUCAGUAAAUGACUCAGAAAAUGACUCAACUUGGGCCCCAGUGCUCAAGCACAGGAAAUCAAAUACAGAAUCCCUUUUAAAGUUCUGUUUGAGAAGCACGUUGUUCAGAGGUUGCUGAGAUCAUCGCUCAUGAAGCAAGGACUGCUCAAAUUCACACAGCUGAGAUUCCACUCCUUUGCAUUCUUCAGCUGACUAGUAUGAUUUGAACAUAGGUAUAAUUCAAGCUUUGUUUCUGAUCUUGAACAGCAAUUCAAAGUUGUUCGGAAAGACCUGUCUGCUCAUGCCAGACUAUCUUUGUCUACCACAAGACAUUCCCUAUAUAGCAGAACACUCGGAACAGCAUUAACACAGAAGUAAAGAGAACCAUUUAAUGCUCCCUUCCUGUGUUCAAAGAAUGUGCUCUCUCCCGGAAGGCCUGAAAGGGAAUCUCAGUUCACUCUGCUAAAUUAUCCACAUGUCAUAGAACUGAGCAGGCAGAAGAAGAACGAACACACUGAGGUACACUAAGAGAUAUUUCUGUGAGUAGCUUUCAAGAUUCCUAAUGAUGUUUUUAUUCUGACAGCAACUUACCAUGUUUGAAAAGGAUACGCUUCUUUGGAGUGUUUUUGAUUCUUUGGAAAACAUCUUCAAAGUUGAGUCUAAGGAUAAAGGACAAAGUAUAUUAUAUAUAAAAUGACUGUUUGGUUUAUAUUACAGAAGAUAGAAAUUUUAUAUCAGUCUUCAAACAGAUACGUUUAAUUGCAAAAAUCAGGUAUGUGUUUCUCAGUCUUCAAAUUAAUAACCUAAGAGGAG